GAUGAACGCUAGCGGCAGGCUUAAUACAUGCAAGUCAAGGGGGUAGCAAUACAACCGGCGCACGGGUGAGUAACGCGUACACAACAUACCCAUAUACUGGAGUAUAGCUUUGGGAAACUGAAGGUAAUCCUCCAUAACAUUGCGAGAGGGCAUCUGAUUGCAAUUAAAGUUCCGGCGGUAUAUGAUUGGUGCGCGUUUGAUUAGCUAGUUGGUAGGGUAACGGCCUACCAAGGCGACGAUCAAUAGCUGGCGUGAGAGCGCGACCAGCCACACUGGAACUGAGACACGGUCCAGACUCCUACGGGAGGCAGCAGUAGGGAAUAUUGGACAAUGGGCGAAAGCCUGAUCCAGCCAUGCCGCCGUGAUAGAUGAAGGCCCUCUGGGUUGUAAAUAUCCUUUUAUCUGGGAAGAAACUCCUCUAUUCUUAGUAGGCCUGACGGUUACCAGAGGAAUAAGCACCGGCUAACUCCGUGCCAGCAGCCGCGGU
rnacentral:rRNA from 1 species